rnacentral:rRNA from 1 species
UACAGAGGGGGCAAGCGUUGUUCGGAAUUACUGGGCGCAAAGGGCGCGUAGGCGGCCUGCUAAGUCGAACGUGAAAUCCCUGGGCUCAACCCAGGAACUGCGUCCGAUACUGGUUGGCUUGAAUCCGGGAGAGGGACGUGGAAUUCCAGGUGUAGCGAUGAAAUGCGUAGAUAUCUGGAGGAACACCGGUGGCGAAGGCGACGUCCUGGACCGGCAUUGACGCUGAGGCGCGAAAGCCAGGGGAGCAAACGGG